rnacentral:rRNA from 1 species
CUGCAGCCGACGUGGCAGCAGCGGCGGGAAUACGUAGGGUGGAAGCGGUGUCCUGAAUCAUGGGGCGUAAAGGGCUCGUAGGCGGUCCAUCGCGUCGGGAGUGAAAAGCUGGGGCUUAACCCCAGUCCUGCUUUCGAUACGGGUGGACUAGAGGUAGGUAGGGGAGAACGGAAUUCCUGGUGUAGCGGUGAAAUGCGCAGAUAUCAGGAGGAACACCGGUGGCGAAGGCGGUUCUCUGGGCCUUACCUGACGCUGAGGAGCGAAAGCGUGGGGAGCAAACAGGAUUAGAUACCCGUGUAUC